rnacentral:rRNA from 1 species
GUUAUUNCUAACUGUGCAAAGGUAGCAUAAUCAUUAGUCUUUUUAUUGAAGGCUGGCAUGAAUGGUUGAAUGAAAUAUUAACUGUUUCAAUUUAAUUUAUUAUUGAAUUUUAUUUUUUAGUUAAAAAGCUAAAAUUAAUUUAAAAGACGAGAAGACCCUAUAAAUCUUUAUAAUUNAUAAUUAUUAUUAANUAUUUAGAUUAAUUAAUUUUUAAUAAUUUAAAUUAUUUUAUUGGGGUGAUAUUGAAAUUUAUUUAACUUUUAAUGUAUNUUUUACACUAAUUAGUGAAUUAUNUGAUCCAUAANNUAAUGAUUAAAAAUUUAAGUUACUUUAGGGAUAACAGCNGUAAUUUUUCUAGAGAGUUCGUAUUAAUAGAAAAGAUUGCGACCUCGAUGUUGGAUUAAGAUAUAA